rnacentral:rRNA from 1 species
CCUACGGUGCGCUGCAGUGAGGAAUAUUGGUCAAUGGGCGAGAGCCUGAACCAGCCAAGUCGCGUGAAGGAUGACGGCCCUACGGGUUGUACACUUCUUUUGUCAGGGAGCAAUUGGGUCCACGCGUGGGCUUAGUGAGAGUACCUUAAGAAAAAGCAUCGGCUAACUCCGUGCCAGCAGCCGCGGUAAUACGGAGGAUGCGAGCGUUCUCCGGAUUUAUUUGGUUUAAAGGGUGCGUAGUCGGAAUAUCAAGUCAGCGGUAAAAAUUCGGGGCUCAACCCCGUCGUGCCGUUGAAACUGAUGUUAUUGAGUGGGCGAGAAGUAUGCGGAAUGCGUGGUGUAGAGGUGAAAUGCAUAGAUAUCACGCAGAACUCCGAUUGCGAAGGCAGCAUAACGGCGCCCAACUGACGCUGAAGCACGAAAGCGUGGGUAUCGAACAGGAUUAGAUACCCGAGUAGUC